ACGCUCGACACCUACGGGAGGCAGCAGUGGGGAAUAUUGGGCAAUGGGCGCAAGCCUGACCCAGCAACGCCGCGUGAAGGAAGAAGGCUUUCGGGUUGUAAACUUCUUUUGUCAGGGAACAGUAGAUGAGGGUACCUGACGAAUAAGCUCCGGCUAACUACGUGCCAACAGCCGCGGUAAUCUGAGCGGGCUGGCAAGGC
rnacentral:rRNA from 1 species